rnacentral:lncRNA from 1 species
GCACUGGCGCUAACUAAAGUAAACACCUUUACUUUCCAGCUGCUGCUAAUUGGUUUGGGAAUAUUUAUGUAAGUGUUGAUUUUAAAGUUAAAAAUAGCACAGUGAUGUUUAAAUCCAGCUCAUUCUGGCUGUCAGAAAUGCUCCUGUGAUCCUGAAAGUGUUGCUAAAAAUGUUCACUUUUUAAAAAUUGUACUAAUUAAACUUGUCUGUUGUGAGAGCCACAUACGAUAGGUUCCCUGCUCUGAUAAUCAAAGAGGUAAAGGACAGACUUCUUAAAGGUCUUUGCCUGGCUAGCAAGACAAAACCUCCUGCUAAACUGUAUUAGGGAGCAAAGGAUUGUAAUGCGAACAAAAGAAAGAGUAAAUUUCAACAUAGCUUCAUUCCUUUAUAAUGCCACUGAUCGUAUC